GGGAUUGUGGCUCAGUGGUAGAGCGCUUGCCUAGCAUGUGUGAGGCCCUGAGUUUGAUCCUUAGCACCA
rnacentral:tRNA from 1 species